ensembl:lncRNA
GUUUUAUUCCUCAGUUGCUCCUGGUUUGGUUUUGUAAGUUACUACAGCACAAGUGUGAUUUAUGACAUUUCUCAGCUCCAUCAGUCAAGGACUGCUUCAUAGAGCCAUUUUUCUAUUGAAAGCCCUCACGCAUUUAGACGGGUCCUUACAUGCUGCUCAUUCUUGAUAGGGACAGGAACCAGAGGCAGUGUAUCAUCUGAGUGCAUCUCCCGCUUUCUUGUAUGAAUAUAUCAGCACUGACCAGACAGUCCCUGACAUUUAGUGAUCUGUGAUGAUCAGCAUAAACCUUAAAUUAUCCAAUGUCUGCCUGAAGUGCUUUCAAAAGUUUGCCACUGAUCUGAUGUACAUCAUGGUUCAAAGAACAGCUACUGCAGGCCCGGUUCCAGCGAUCACCCCGAACCCUCGUAGAGUUUAAUUAACAUCACCAGUGUGCUCACUGAGAAUGUGCAGCAGUGCAGGAAGCUGCAAGUGCUCAAAUGAUUUGGGAGUAAAGUGCAUGGCUCAUACUUUCUAUAGCACACUCGGGAUGAAUGUUUUUUUUUUUUUGUUUUUUUUAACUCGAACUCUUUCUAUGAUUUUAUUUUACAGUGCUUGAGAGCUGUGUCAUACUUGAAAAAUAUGUGAUUAAUGGGCACCGCCCUCUAGGGCCACCAGCACAUUUUCAUUUCCCAAAGCUAUAUAGAACAUUGUAAUUCAAAGUAAAGGAUAAUAAAGCUUUGUGUGCAACAAAGACAUGCUCCUCUGGUGCAGAGUUUAAAAGUGUCACCUAGAUACAUCCCCAGAGCAUAGCAAACUCUCUAGGUAGCAAAUAAGCUACUUCACUGACAUUUUGAACCUGUUGUAAAGAGACCAGGAGCCUACAGCUAUGCUAGCGGCUCUGUGAGGCUGUAGCUAGGCACAGUAGGGCUUUGAACUAAAUGCUAACAUCAGCAUGCUAGCAAUAUUACAAGUCCUAACGGGCUCAUAUUUAGCAGGUUUACGCCAUAGCUAAAUAUGGUUAAAAGUGUUGGUAUGUACAGUGUCAAACCUCCUUUACUCAUAGGCAACAUAAAGCUAAACUUGAUUUUUUAAAAUAAUUGAAAAUACAUUAUUUAAAAACAAACAAAAAGGUGAUAUGUCUCUAUUUGACAAAAGAAAAAAUUACAUUCAGU